rnacentral:rRNA from 1 species
UAACACGUAAACAACCUGCCUUCAGGAUGGGGACAACAGACGGAAACGACUGCUAAUACCGAAUAAGUUCCAAGAGCCGCAUGGCCCAUGGAAGAAAAGGUGGCCUCUACCUGUAAGCUAUCGCCUGAAGAGGGGUUUGCGUCUGAUUAGCUGGUUGGAGGGGUAACGGCCCACCAAGGCGACGAUCAGUAGCCGGUCUGAGAGGACGAACGGCCACACUGGAACUGAGACACGGUCCAG